AAACAACGGAAAAUGACCUGAACUUCUUCACAAAUUAAAAGUUUAUAGUUUGAGUUUAUAAUAAAUUAAAUUAUGUAAUGAAGUCAAAAAUAAGGGAAAAUAGGUAUUCUUGACUUCUUACAAAGGCUACAUUUCCCUUAGAGCUUUCAUUCAAUCAAAGCAUCAGCUGAGAAGGCAAGAAGCCUCCAACCAGAACGGAUAUAGCCGCAUGGUCAUGUCCAUGUCCGUGCCCUGGCUAAAUCCAUUUGUCCAAAAAGCAUUACAGGAUUUAAUUUAAAAGUUUGCUACACUUUCCUAAAUGAAACAGCUGCGGAAAAGAAGAAGAGUGCGGGGAGAUGAGCAAUUAAAGCACAUGCAGCAAAUGAAAAUUUUUAACUCAAUAUAGAAAACGACUCGGUGAAUGA